GGCUCAGGAUGAACGCUGGCGGCGUGCUUAACACAUGCAAGUCGAACGAAGAUGCCGGAGUGCUUGCACUUUGGCAGACUGAGUGGCGGACGGGUGAGUAACGCGUGGGUAACCUGCCUCACACAGGGGGAUAACAGUUGGAAACGGCUGCUAAUACCGCAUAAGCGCACAGUACCGCAUGGUACAGUGUGAAAAACUCCGGUGGUGUGAGAUGGACCCGCGUCUGAUUAGCUAGUUGGCAGGGCAACGGCCUACCAAGGCGACGAUCAGUAGCCGACCUGAGAGGGUGACCGGCCACAUUGGGACUGAGACACGGCCCAAACUCCUACGGGAGGCAGCAGUGGGGAAUAUUGCACAAUGGGGGAAACCCUGAUGCAGCGACGCCGCGUGAGCGAAGAAGUAUUUCGGUAUGUAAAGCUCUAUCAGCAGGGAAGAAGAAAUGACGGUACCUGACUAAGAAGCACCGGCUAAAUACGUG
rnacentral:rRNA from 1 species